rnacentral:lncRNA from 1 species
AUAAACUUUAAAUAAGCAUUUUCUCAUUUUAGUAUCUUUAUGCUUUAAAGUGUAUCAAUUUAGUAUUCUUAAAUUAUAUAUAAAAAAUUUCAAAUAUCCCAUCUAAGUGUAUAGAAUAUUCACUUUAGUACCUUUUAGCUUUUAACUUUGUCGCUGAUUUAACGAAAAAAAUUAGUAGAGAUGAUAAAAAAAGAGAAAAAUAAAACCACAUAGUAUUAAAUUGAUACACUUUAGACUAUAGGAUACUAAAAUAAAAAAGUACGAAAUUACAUACGUGGUAUUUAAAUUUUUCCAAAAAAUAAAUAGAAGAUAAUAGUCUGGAUGAAGGCAAUAUUUUUUUUAAAAAAAAGAUAUUGAAAUUUAGACUAAGUAAUGCUAUUAGAUAAAAAAGAGUUUAGAUAAAAGCAUAUAGAGACUGUAGAAAAUAUAUUGUAACUGACUAAUCGCGAUAUGCGAAACAUAAUAUUAUGUAUGGAAACAAACGGACGUAACACAAUUUUUUUGUAAUUACAAAUGAAGCCUUAGAUAU